AUACGUAGGUGGCAAGCGUUAUCCGGAAUUAUUGGGCGUAAAGAGUGAGCAGGCGGUUAAUUAAGUCUGAGGUUAAAGCGUGGGGCUCAACCCCAUAAAGCCUUGGAAACUGAUUGACUAGAGUACGGGAGAAGUGAAGGGAACUCCAUGUGUAGCGGUGAAAUGCGUAGAUAUAUGGAAGAACACCAGUGGCGAAGGCGCUUCACUAGCCCGGAACUGACGCUCAGUCACGAAAGCGUGGGUAGCAAAUAGGAUUAGAUACCCUAGUAGUCCACGCUGUAAACGAUGACAACUAAAUAUUGCCGCGAGGCAGUGUUGAAGCUAACGCAUUAAGUUGUCCGCCUGGGGAGUACGGUCGCAAGACUGAAACUUAAAGGAAUUGGCGGGG
rnacentral:rRNA from 1 species